GUUUCUCUGUUCACGGGAUUGAUUGGCAUUAGCGGCGAUGAAGGACGUGCAGGAGGACGAUAUGCGUUGUUGUUGUGACGGUGUCUGAAUUGUGUGCGGUGUGCACGGGGACCCCUUGGACUUAAGCAUAUCAGUAAAGGGAGGAGAAGAAACCAAAUGGGAUUGCCUGAGUAGCGGCGAGUGAAAUGGCAUGAGCCUGUGUGGUAACUGCGUUUGGCGGGUUGUGUUUGUGGCAGCAGCGGCGAGUGCGAUUGAAUUCGGAUGCGGAGAGGGCGAUGUGCCUGUAGGCGCGGCGGCUUUUUUUGUGAGUAGUGUUGCUUGGUAGUGCAGCGCGAAUGCGGUGGUGGAUGCACC
rnacentral:rRNA from 1 species